rnacentral:rRNA from 1 species
UACGUUCGUUGGGUAGGGGAGCGUUCUGUAAGCCUGUGAAGGUGUGUCGUGAGGCAUGCUGGAGGUAUCAGAAGUGCGAAUGCUGACAUAAGUAACGAUAAAGCGGGUGAAAAGCCCGCUCGCCGGAAGACCAAGGGUUCCUGUCCAACGUUAAUCGGGGCAGGGUGAGUCGACCCCUAAGGCGAGGCCGAAAGGCGUAGUCGAUGGGAAACGGGUUAAUAUUCCCGUACUUGGUGUUACUGCGAAGGGGGGACGGAGAAGGCUAUGUUGGCCGGGCGACGGUUGUCCCGGUUUAAGCGUGUAGGUGUGUGUUCCAGGUAAAUCCGGUUCACUUUAACACUGAGGCGUGACGACGAGGCACUACGGUGCUGAAGCAACAAAUGCCCUGCUUCCAGGAAAAGCCUCUAAGCAUCAGGUAACACGAAAUCGUACCCCAAACCGACACAGGUGGUCAGGUAGAGAAUACCAAGGCGCUUGAGAGAACUCGGGUGAAGGAACUAGGCAAAAUGGUGCCGUAACUUCGGGAGAAGGCACGCUGACACGUAGGUGAAGUGAUUUACUCAUGGAGCUGAAGUCAGUCGAAGAUACCAGCUGGCUGCAACUGUUUAUUAAAAACACAGCACUGUGCAAACACGAAAGUGGACGUAUACGGUGUGACGCCUGCCCGGUGCCGGAAGGUUAAUUGAUGGGGUCAGCGUAAGCGAAGCUCCUGAUCGAAGCCCCGGUAAACGGCGGCCGUAACUAUAACGGUCCUAAGGUAGCGAAAUUCCUUGUCGGGUAAGUUCCGACCUGCACGAAUGGCGUAAUGAUGGCCAGGCUGUCUCCACCCGAGACUCAGUGAAAUUGAACUCGCUGUGAAGAUGCAGUGUACCCGCGGCAAGACGGAAAGACCCCGUGAACCUUUACUAUAGCUUGACACUGAACAUUGAGCCUUGAUGUGUAGGAUAGGUGGGAGGCUUUGAAGUGUGGACGCCAGUCUGCAUGGAGCCGACCUUGAAAUACCACCCUUUAAUGUUUGAUGUUCUAACGUGGACCCGUAAUCCGGGUUGCGGACAGUGUCUGGUGGGUAGUUUGACUGGGGCGGUCUCCUCCUAAAGAGUAACGGAGGAGCACGAAGGUUGGCUAAUCCUGGUCGGACAUCAGGAGGUUAGUGCAAUGGCAUAAGCCAGCUUGACUGCGAGCGUGACGGCGCGAGCAGGUGCGAAAGCAGGUCAUAGUGAUCCGGUGGUUCUGAAUGGAAGGGCCAUCGCUCAACGGAUAAAAGGUACUCCGGGGAUAACAGGCUGAUACCGCCCAAGAGUUCAUAUCGACGGCGGUGUUUGGCACCUCGAUGUCGGCUCAUCACAUCCUGGGGCUGAAGUAGGUCCCAAGGGUAUGGCUGUUCGCCAUUUAAAGUGGUACGCGAGCUGGGUUUAGAACGUCGUGAGACAGUUCGGUCCCUAUCUGCCGUGGGCGCUGGAGAACUGAGGGGGGCUGCUCCUAGUACGAGAGGACCGGAGUGGACGCAUCACUGGUGUUCGGGUUGUCAUGCCAAUGGCACUGCCCGGUAGCUAAAUGCGGAAGAGAUAAGUGCUGAAAGCAUCUAAGCACGAAACUUGCCCCGAGAUGAGUUCUCCCUGAGACUUAG